rnacentral:rRNA from 1 species
GACAGAGGCCUCGAGCGUUAGGCGGAAUCACUGGGCUUAAAGCGUGUGUAGGCGGAUCGUUAAGUGCCUUGUGAAAUCCCACGGCUUAACUGUGGAACGACUGGGCAUACUGGCGGUCUUGAGCCAUCUAGGGGCGACUGGAACAAACGGUGGAGCGGUGAAAUGCGUAGAUAUCGUUUGGAACGCCAAUGGUGAAAACAGGUCGCUGGGGAUGAGCUGACGCUGAGACACGAAAGCCAGGGGAGCAAACGGG